rnacentral:rRNA from 1 species
GAUGAACGCUGGCGGCGUGCCUAAUACAUGCAAGUCGAGCGAACAGACGAGGAGCUUGCUCCUCUGACGUUAGCGGCGGACGGGUGAGUAACACGUGGAUAACCUACCUAUAAGACUGGGAUAACUUCGGGAAACCGGAGCUAAUACCGGAUAAUAUAUUGAACCGCAUGGUUCAAUAGUGAAAGACGGUUUUGCUGUCACUUAUAGAUGGAUCCGCGCCGCAUUAGCUAGUUGGUAAGGUAACGGCUUACCAAGGCAACGAUGCGUAGCCGACCUGAGAGGUGAUUCGCCCACCCGGAACUGAGAACCGGGCCCGACUCCCACGGGAGGGCAGCGGUGGGAAUUCUUCCGAAUUGGGCGAAGCCUUAACGAAGCAACGCCGGGUGGGUAAUGAGGGUCUCCGGUUCUAAAACCUCUGUUUUUGGGAAAGAACAAAUGUGUAAGUAACUAUGCACGUCUUACCGGUCCCUAAUCAUAAGGCCCCGGCUACCUCCUU